UCCACACUAUUAAUUCGAGACCCAUCACUCUAUAUUUCGCAUGCUUCAUCUGCCCCCUAAAAAAACAUGAUAUUCUGGCAAAGUUUCUUACGAACUCGAAACCGAAACCUCAACACCUUAGCUUUCGCCGGAAUAACCGAGCACGUCGGAAACUACCCUCUCGCCCACUACAGUCGAGCCGGAGUAAAACCUCACUCUCGACACCACCCUCUCACCUCUCCGUUUCGAUAACAAGUCGCCGGAAAGAUCAAGACGUGCCGGAGGAUCGGAGAAGACGACCGGAACGACGACGAAGAAGCCACAUCUCGUUCGGAUAACCACUUCGUUCUCUUGAACAUCCUCCAAUCCUUACUCGUGCGUUCUUUCAAGAAAUCGCAAACGCAACCAAUGUUGAUAGACGCAGUGAUCAAGAAAACAAGCUAGGAUGAACCUAGAAACCCAUCUAGAAUAAGCAAUGUCUUGAAUUAUUUUUGAUACAAUUUUGUUAUGUUUGAAUCUUGUAUGACAUUUUAGUUAUUUAUGAAAUUUGAUUUAAACUA